GUUCACUGUUGCCUCGCGUUAUUCCAUCAUCCAUAUUUCUGCUCUUAGUUGCUUUAUAAUGUGUCAGCAGUAAUCAGCCCUGCUGUAUUAUAUAUUGUGCUUGAUUGUUGAUACCUAAUUAAUUAACUGUUUACGAUGGCAGUUAUGGUGGAUGAUGAUUAAUCACUCUACAAUCGCCUGUCACGUGACUUCUUCAACCCGUUCUGUAGAUGGCCCUAAACAACUAUUCGAAACCCGGAAACCAUAACCCUCUAAUCAGAUCCCAACCCUAACGGCCUAACCCUAACCAAAUCCUUUACAAAAGCAUACACUGAAACACUAUAGAGAAAUUAGGCUAACUUCCUUAUACGGUCAUAUCAGGUGAUCGAGACAGUUUUUCGCCAAUAUCUCGUUAGGGGAGAAUUUUAACCUUAUGUCAUGGGGGUAAUAGGUAAGUGCUUAGUAACCUCUUUGCUUUUAUUCGAGCCUUUUAUUAAAUCGAAGUUACAGUUCACGAGGUUGAUCCUUUGGGAGAUAUUAAAUCCUGUUUUACUAUUAUUUAUAAAUUCUAACGUUUAACUUUAAUAAUAAUAAGUAAGUUUGGACGCAGACUAGAAACGAGUUUAAUCGACUAAGUUUUUGAUUUUGUGUACCUUUUUAUCAUACAACUUUUUAAUUUCAGCAAACUUUAGUUAAAGAGUAAAUCAAAGUUAGCAAUCAUUGAACUCAAUAGUUAAAAAGGAGAAGCUAAAAGCGCUGAAAGACCAAGAAAGAAGCAUCUCCCUGUUGAAUCAGCACGCUGAAGAAGUACAGCGACUAGGACUGGUGAACAAGCUGAUAAACUCAGACAGCAGCAAAAACUUCAAGAUCUAAAAUAGGCCCGGGCUUUUUUAAAAGUUACUGACAUCACGCUGGUCCUCACUUUUUGGAGUCUACUCCCUCAUUUCCAGGCUGAACAGGAAGCUGUACAACAACCGGCCUGACAAGUUACCGGUCUGACAAGUUACAAGUGGUGGACCUACAUCAUCUAGAUGUACAGGUACAAAUUCUACUAGUACGAUUCGAUGCAGUGGAAGAGGUUGAAGUUGACGUUUAAGCAGUCACCCUGCCGAACAAGAAAUCAGUCAGGCAAAGAGGCUAGGUUGACUAGAAACUCAAUCACUAUAUCCGUGAAACUUGCUGGAAGCUAUGUGUGGAGGUCGGACCGAAACUGUAAUCAGACACUAAACAUUAACGAGGACCAAUUAUUUUACUCCUUUAAUGAUGAAUAAAGAUCGCUGAUUGCUUUUACUGAUAUAUAGUGUUAAAAUGAAAGAGAAACUGUUGAGACGAAAGAGAAAAACGCACUCAUUUAUUUAUAGUUUUAUGUCUUAACAAUGUUAUUCGAAAGCUAAUUUUAAAAGCUGGCUCUGAAUCCUUGCUAAAUGAUUUGGGAAGGUGUAAGGGCUAAAUAUGCCUGUAGACAUCAUUUUCAGUGGGUUUUAUGAAGUUUAUGAUUAGGGUAUAUUUUGGGACUGAAAUAAGCGCAAGACCUUCGACGUUUCUAUUCCUACUGUUUUUUUAAUUUAGCAAAUAUACAAAAAAAAAUUAUACUGUCGUAAAGAUAAAAUGUUUAGUUAUCGGAUAGAUACUUUAAAAUUAAGUAUUAAAAUAACCGAGCUAAGAUAUUCAAUGUUAAACUCAAAAAUGUUCACGCGUUUAUGAAGAAAUAUUUAA